rnacentral:ncRNA from 1 species
UCCCAAUACAAAUCUUGCCCUACCGAGACUAGGCAAGUAAAAUCCGUCUCUAAUAUCUUCUCUAGGGGUGAGAAGAAAUAAUAAACUCG